rnacentral:rRNA from 1 species
UACGUAGGGUGCGAGCGUUGUCCGGAAUUACUGGGCGUAAAGAGCUCGUAGGUGGUUUGUCGCGUUGUUCGUGAAAACCGGGGGCUUAACCCUCGGCGUGCGGGCGAUACGGGCAGACUUGAGUACUGCAGGGGAGACUGGAAUUCCUGGUGUAGCGGUGGAAUGCGCAGAUAUCAGGAGGAACACCGGUGGCGAAGGCGGCGACCUGGGUAGAUACUGACGCUGAGGCGCGAAAGCGUGGGGAGCAAACAGG